rnacentral:lncRNA from 1 species
CAAACGAUUUCUUCCAUUCACGGUUGCUUUAGUUGCCCACAAACAGCUCACCAAGAUGUACUAAUUCCACACAGGAAAUGACCACAAAGGUAUCACAGGUGAAGAACAACCGAACAGAAUCACAGAGAAAAAUCCGGAAGAAAGAAUAGAGAUGGCGGUACUUUUUUUUUUUUCAUAGGAGGCAACAAAGGGACAAGUAUAUAGCCCAAGUAAAGAGUCCAAAAUGGUAAUUUAGGUUUAGAUUAAGGUCACAGCCCAAAGGCCCAACACUCAAGUUAAUGGGCUCCAAAAUGGGUAACAACAUAAAGCCGUCCAAGUAAAAGGUGAAACGGGCCACGAGCGACACUAUUAAAUUAGGUCACUUCUAGUGGUCCAUAAAAUUGGGGUUGGGUCGUUCUAAUAGUGGCGUUGACAUUUCAUUUAGUCAUUUGGUCCAAACCGACUGAAAAUUAAAACUGGUUUUACAUCAUAGUUCGAGGAGUUAUUGGGUAUCAAAACCCAACAAGGCCCAAGCGUCAAGAUGAGGUCGUUCAGGAAUGUGAGGUAGGCUCCUAUUAAAGUGGUUAGGAUGAGAUUCCCCUAGUGAGGCAGUCUGGCACUUAUGAUUUCUUCAGCUAGAGACUUUAGCAGCUCAGGCAUCGGUGGUCGAGGUAGGAGGAGAAUACUCAUCACAUUGAGUAUAGAGAAAGUGAGAUGAGAGGGUGAAUGCAUUAGAAAGGAAUACUUAUCUGUGAAUGAACAGGACGCUGCUGUCGCUCCAGAUGUCGAACCUUCUUGCGGGGUCCUUGAUUAUGCUCCAGCAAUUUAUCCCGCACUAGUAACUUUUUAUGGGUUAAAUUUUGAUAUUAUAAGGUCGUUUCUUUUGUUUUGGUUUAGAAAGGAAUGUUUAUCUAGUUCGAGUUUUUCUAAAUCAGAGUUGGAAGAAUGAAGUUAAAAUUUUACCAUGUAAGCAUUAGCGAUUAAUUACUUUGCAUUUCAAGAAUGAUAGAACAGUUUGUCAACAAAUAUCUGAACAUGCGUUUCUGGAACUUAACUGUGUUAGGUUAUAUUAAUAGACUGUUUACAUGAAUUUGAUUUUUCCAAUAAUUUCAGAAUCUCGUAGAUAUGAUAGUCAAAAUCCAUGGCUCAAUGCGACUUCUUUAUGUCCGCUAAGCCGUAUUAGCUUCUACUUUCCAAGGUCAAUCUCUUUUCAGUUUUUGCAUAAUUUCUUAUUUUUUUUUCCGUGUUAUAGUACCCAUCCUCAAAACAAAUAAAUAAGGACUUUCUAUUUUCAUAUUAAUAAAUAUCUAUUUUUAUCUGAAAAACAAGAUUUCUGCAAUCUGCAAGUAGAAUUUUAUUACUUGACUAGUAAUUAAUUGCUUUGCAUUUCAGGAAUGAGAGAAGAUUUCAU